UCCUCUUUUUUAAAAUCUCUAACAUGAUAGGGUAUUUAUAAUACUCCUAUCCUACUCCUACUCAACUAAUAAAAUAAAUAACCAAAUCCUAAUAUACUAAUGAAAUCCUUGACCCAAUUGUACUAGGGUAAGGUUACAAAAUUAUAAUCCAAAUAGAAUGAUGAAACACAUAACCUAAUUGCACUAGGUUAAUGUAUUAUGGCAAAAAUCCAGCUUUGUGUCUGUAAGUCCCAAAGUCUUCAGAAAUGCUGUUUUAGCCCGGGACAGAUUUUCCAUGCAGCAGAU
rnacentral:lncRNA from 1 species